UACAGAGGGUGCAAGCGUUGUUCGGAAUUACUGGGCGUAAAGGGUUCGUAGGUGGCCAACUAAGUCAGACGUGAAAUCCCUCAGCUUAACUGGGGAACUGCGUCUGAUACUGGUUGGCUUGAGUGCAGGAGAGGAACGCGGAAUUCCAGGUGUAGCGGUGAAAUGCGUAGAUAUCUGGAGAACACCGGUGGCGAAGGCGGCGUUCUGGACUGCAACUGACACUGAGGAACGAAAGCCAGGGGAGCAAACGGG
rnacentral:rRNA from 1 species